GAUGAACGCUAGCUACAGGCUUAACACAUGCAAGUCGAGGGGAAACGACAUCGAAAGCUUGCUUUUGAUGGGCGUCGACCGGCGCACGGGUGAGUAACGCGUAUCCAACCUGCCCAUCACUUGGGAAUAACCUUGCGAAAGUAAGAUUAAUACCCAAUGAUAUCCCACGAAGGCAUCGGAAUGGGAUUAAAGAUUUAUCGGUGAUGGAUGGGGAUGCGUCUGAUUAGCUUGUUGGCGGGGUAACGGCCCACCAAGGCAACGAUCAGUAGGGGUUCUGAGAGGAAGGUCCCCCACAUUGGAACUGAGACACGGUCCAAACUCCUACGGGAGGCAGCAGUGAGGAAUAUUGGUCAAUGGGCGAGAGCCUGAACCAGCCAAGUAGCGUGCAGGAAGACGGCCCUAUGGGUUGUAAACUGCUUUUAUAAGGGAAUAAAGUGGGUCACGUGUGACUUUUUGCAUGUACCUUAUGAAUAAGGACCGGCUAAUUCCGUG
rnacentral:rRNA from 1 species